GUGGGGAAUAUUGGGCAAUGGGCGAAAGCCUGACCCAGCAACGCCGCGUGAAGGAAGAAGGUUUUCGGAUCGUAAACUUCUAUCCUUGGUGAAGAUAAUGACGGUAGCCAAGAAGGAAGCCCCGGCUAACUACGUGCCAGCAGCCGCGGUAAUACGUAGGGGGCAAGCGUUGUCCGGAAUGAUUGGGCGUAAAGGGCGCGUAGGCGGCCUGGUAAGUCUGGAGUGAAAGUCCUGCUUUUAAGGUGGGAAUUGCUUUGGAUACUGUCGAGCUUGAGUGCAGGAGAGGUAAGUGGAAUUCCCGGUGUAGCUGUGAAAUGCGUAGAGAUCGGGAGGAACACCAGUGGCGAAGGCGACUUACUGGACUGUAACUGACGCUGAGGCGCGAAAGUGUGGGGAGCAAACAGGAUUAGAAACCCCUGUAGUCC
rnacentral:rRNA from 1 species